rnacentral:rRNA from 1 species
GGCGAACUGGUGAGUAACACGUGGGAAACCUGCCCAGAAGCGGGGGAUAACACCUGGAAACAGAUGCUAAUACCGCAUAACAACUUGGACCGCAUGGUCCGAGUUUGAAAGAUGGCUUCGGCUAUCACUUUUGGAUGGUCCCGCGGCGUAUUAGCUAGAUGGUGGGGUAACGGCUCACCAUGGCAAUGAUACGUAGCCGACCUGAGAGGGUAAUCGGCCACAUUGGGACUGAGACACGGCCCAAACUCCUACGGGAGGCAGCAGUAGGGAAUCUUCCACAAUGGACGAAAGUCUGAUGGAGCAACGCCGCGUGAGUGAAGAAGGGUUUCGGCUCGUAAAACUCUGUUGUUAAAGAAGAACAUAUCUGAGAGUAACUGUUCAGGUAUUGACGGUAUUUAACCAGAAAGCCACGGCUAACUACGUGCCAGCAGCCGCGGUAAUACGUAGGUGGCAAGCGUUGUCCGGAUUUAUUGGGCGUAAAGCGAGCGCAGGCGGUUUUUUAAGUCUGAUGUGAAAGCCUUCGGCUCAACCGAAGAAGUGCAUCGGAAACUGGGAAACUUGAGUGCAGAAGAGGACAGUGGAACUCCAUGUGUAGCGGUGAAAUGCGUAGAUAUAUGGAAGAACACCAGUGGCGAAGGCGGCUGUCUGGUCUGUAACUGACGCUGAGGCUCGAAAGUAUGGGUAGCAAACAGGAUUAGAUACCCUGGUAGUCCAUACCGUAAACGAUGAAUGCUAAGUGUUGGAGGGUUUCCGCCCUUCAGUGCUGCAGCUAACGCAUUAAGCAUUCCGCCUGGGGAGUACGGCCGCAAGGCUGAAACUCAAAGGAAUUGACGGGGGCCCGCACAAGCGGUGGAGCAUGUGGUUUAAUUCGAAGCUACGCGAAGAACCUUACCAGGUCUUGACAUACUAUGCAAAUCUAAGAGAUUAGACGUUCCCUUCGGGGACAUGGAUACAGGUGGUGCAUGGUUGUCGUCAGCUCGUGUCGUGAGAUGUUGGGUUAAGUCCCGCAACGAGCGCAACCCUUAUUAUCAGUUGCCAGCAUUAAGUUGGGCACUCUGGUGAGACUGCCGGUGACAAACCGGAGGAAGGUGGGGAUGACGUCAAAUCAUCAUGCCCCUUAUGACCUGGGCUACACACGUGCUACAAUGGAUGGUACAACGAGUUGCGAACUCGCGAGAGUAAGCUAAUCUCUUAAAGCCAUUCUCAGUUCGGAUUGUAGGCUGCAACUCGCCUACAUGAAGUCGGAAUCGCUAGUAAUCGCGGAUCAGCAUGCCGCGGUGAAUACGUUCCCGGGCCUUGUACACACCG